CUGCCUCCUCAAAAUAUAAGCAAGAGAAGUGAAUAACAAAUUUCCUAAGUUUUUGCUUGUUUGGGGGCCUGAUAAGAGAUGAAGGAGAGAUGCUACAAAGUCCACUGAACACCAAACUGGAAUAAUAAUAAUAAAGCUGUCUUUCUAAAUAACACGCCUGUGCCUGUCAGUAGCUAGUUUAUUUGCGUUUUUCACUGCUUUGUUUAUAUUAGUGCCCCCUCCCUCCUGGGUGCCUCCAGAGUUAAACAAGCAGGUAUUUACCUCCAACUUAAUCCUGAGCUUUAAAAAUAUAGACCAAACUCUGAGGUUCUUAAAAUUUUCAAUCAUAUUUAUUUAUUGCAGAAAAAUAAUAUACAAAGAUAUGCCGGCGCGCCCGCGAGGUGUCUGGGAGUUUGACGAGAGCUGCAGCCUCGGAGGCUCUUAUACCUCCGCGCGGCAGGAAAGCUUGGGGGCAGCGGUGUCAUUGGCCUGACGUGGGGAGGAGGGACUUUUCCAAGUUUUAUAGGAAAGUUUCCGCUUUCCAGGCCCCCCUGCCCUCCCACCACCUUCCUCGUCCCCACCCCCACCCCCCUUUCCGCGGGGUCUAACAAUUCGUUCUCCCAAACCAUUCAAAGGCGACCUGGCUGCGGCGGCCGGCCCUCUGCCCGCCUCCCCGCCUCCCCGCCUCCCCUCCCCGCCCCGCCGCCCUCCCCCUUCCCGCCCCGCCGCCCUCCGCGGGCCGGCGCGGGGCGAUUUCCUUCCGCGCCCGAGCGCGCGCGGGCCGCGCCCCCGCACCCGAGCGCAGCCCCGGAAGGCGGCCGGAGGGGACCUUUCGGCCGCGGUGUCAGUCCCUCCCGGAGUGGAUGUGACAGCAGCGGCAGCUCCGGCUACAGCUUCUACGCACGACCCAAGCCUAAAGCCGCUUGCCACCCCAAAGACUUCGCCUCCGACGGGGCUAAAAAGAGGAAGUUCGUUCUUUUCUCGGAAGUCAGCCCUGUCCUCGGAGAAAGCAGCGGGCCGGAGAGGGACAGCGCAGGGUCUUCGCUGCGGCCCGCGUCGCCUGAGCUGCCGGCCCAAGAUGCAUUCCUAAUCACAUCCUCUGAGACCCUGCUGGAGGACCUGCACAGUGGACCAAAAGAGCUGGAAUGA
rnacentral:lncRNA from 12 species